rnacentral:lncRNA from 1 species
UUGUAAGCGUAAAUUGCAGAACAUAUGAACUGCUCCCCCGUACUUGGGAACUGUACUGCGCAUGUGAUGACCUGUGCACUCGUAUGUAGCCUUGUAACAACAACCUGCUCAUUCCAACAUACCCAUAUCCUUCCCAAAGGGUGAUAGCCAUAGUUCAUGAGAGAGUUCCAUUGUGGCAUAGCCGUAGACAUACAUCUCUGAUGAUUAACCUCCUGAACCCUCGUUUCCAUUAGACAACCAAAAACAGGUUUUUCUGUUUGAAUCCAUGACCGAAGAGCUCUAUGCUUGCAUGGCAUAUUGAAGCCACGCAUAUUCCAUGCAAAGAAGGACGUCAUAUCUUCCUAACGGAAGACUUUUUUGGGACUCCUUGCUUACCAGCAUGCAGUAGGUCUUUAGUACGGAGUACUCUGGUGCGAGAUAACUUUUGAACUGACCCAUUCACUAAUUUCUUCCCCCGAGUAGCCUGUGUACGUUGAGACCUCUGCCCCUCAGUCUUAUUCUCCAAAAUCUCCCCCUCCUCCCCAUCCGUAGCAUUUCCCUC